CGGCCCCACCCACCUCAGGCCCUGAGGCUAUGAUUGGCUGGGUGAACGCCAAUCAGGGCUCGGCUGGGCGCGGGCCGCAGGAACGCAGCCGGACUCGCCAGUUUGAAUGCCCACUGGGUUAUUCUCAGCGCUCCGCGGGUGAGGUGGAAAAGAGGGACGUCAUUUGUCCCUGAACAGAAUAACCUGAGACCGCCGGUACCAUGGCUGUGGACGUGUGGGGUCGUGGGAAUCCCUAGCGCUGGUCGCGCUCCUGAGUCCGCUUCCAAACCUCAUUCACGACCCGGAAAGGAUGCAUGCAUAUAUAUGUGUGUGUGUGUGUGUGUGUGUGUGUGUGUGUGUGUGUGUGUGUGUGUGUGUGUGUGUGUGUGUGUAUGCACACAUAUAUAUGCUUUAGCGGAAUGGAAUAAAUAAUAUAUAUAAAAUAAGUGUUAUAUGUAUUAAUAUAUAAAAUAUAUCUAAUUUAUACAUUUUAGUGGAAUGGAAUAGAAUAGAAAAUACUGGCCUGCAUCACAAUGAGUGUAACUAUAGUUUUUUGAAACGUUUGUUCCAGUUAAAUAUAUUUGUGUGUGUUUGUGCAUUAGCAGGUAUAUGUAUAUAAAUAAGACAUUUUUUUUUCU
rnacentral:lncRNA from 1 species